UGGGGAAUAUUGCACAAUGGGCGAAAGCCUGAUGCAGCGACGCCGCGUGAUGGAUGACGGCCUUCGGGUUGUAAACCUCUUUCAGCAGGGACGAAGCGUAAGUGACGGUACCUGCAGAAGAAGACUCGGCUAACUACGUGCCAGCAGCCGCGGUCAUACGUAGGGUGCAAGCGUUGUCCGGAAUUACUGGGCGUAAAGAGUUCGUAGGCGGUUUGUCGCGUCGUUUGUGAAAACCAGCAGCUCAACUGCGGGCUUGCAGGCGAUACGGGCAGACUUGAGUACUGCAGGGGGGACUGGAAUUCCUGGUGGAGCGGUGAAAUGCGCAGAUAUCAGGAGGAACACCGGUGGCGAAGGCGGGUCUCUGGGCAGUAACUUGCGCUGAGGAACGAAAGCGUGGGUAGCGAACAGG
rnacentral:rRNA from 1 species